CUUUUAUUAGCAAGGAAGAAGAGAAAACUACCGUAAGGCUGGAAACCCCCAGUGUCUGCCACGUUUCACCCUCUGCGAGGGCCUGUGGUGCCAUGUCCAUCACCUAAGACAGUGCCUGGUACUGACGAGGCACAACGCAAAUGUCCGUCCAAUGAAUGGAAUGACUUGCUUGAGGUUGUAUAGCUGUUAAGACCAAAUUAAAAAGAAAGGCUAACACUUUGGUUCUCCUUUGAACAUUUAGAAAAUAUGUCCUGAGUUUUUAUUUAGAAGAGAGAGGAAGAACUUCGCCGGGGCAGAGCAGAGGAGGCGGACCUUCCGUGCGGGGCGACACACUGACCGUAACUGUCCGCAGUUCACCCCUGGGAGCUUUGUCUCCCUACAGGAGCCCCAGCGUUCCUUCCAACCACAUCAGUAUUCUUCAAUGAGAAGUUUUCCUGAUACAUUUUUUUCAAGAUUUAUCACCACCUCUCUUCCUGGGCCGCUGGCUGCUGUACGGGCCUCACCUCCUGGGACACUCGCACAUGUAGAGGCCUCACCUCCUGGGACACUCGCAGAUGUAGAGGCCUCACCUCCUGGGACACUGGCCGCUGCCCCAAGGCCACCAGGCGCAGGUGCCGCUGGACUCCGGACGCGGCUCAGGAGCCGGAGCUUAAUGUAGUCGGAGGCGACGAAACACCAGGACUUCUGCUGAGGAAAGGAAGCUUCCAGGCUCCUCCAGAAGUCGGGGAGUGAGGUGGUGACAUCUGGAGCCACUGCAGCCAUUUCACCACCACGGCGGGGAGUCCAGCGCUGUGGGUUUGCCUGUGGGGACUCUGAGGGUGAAUCCAAGAGGGGAAAAGAUGAUGCAGAGGAAGCCUGGGUCCCCGGUGCCAGCCCUUAGCCUGCGGGGCAGCCUCUCGAUCUCCACAGGAACUUCCCCUAAAGCUGUUUUCUGUUCUGGGAUCCCAUAAACCCCUUUGUAGGGUGAGCCGAC
rnacentral:lncRNA from 1 species